CCUACGGGAGGCAGCAGUAGGGAAUUGUUCGCAAUGGGCGAAAGCCUGACGACGCAACGCCGCGUGGAGGACGAAGACCUUCGGGUCGUAAACUCCUGUCGGGAGGGAAGAACGGUUUACGGGUUAAUACCCCGUAGGCGUGACGGUACCUCUAGAGGAAGCCCCGGCUAACUCCGUGCCAGCAGCCGCGGU
rnacentral:rRNA from 1 species